AGGUCUGCGAGGAGAACAAGGCCCUAUUGGAGUUCCAGCUGAUGUUCCAGAAAUCUCCUUUUCGGCGGCUCUCACCGUCCCGUUACCAGAGCCCGGAACCAUCGCCUUUGACAAGAUUUUGGUGAAUGACGAGAGUGCGUACGACCCAUUAACCGGUAUCUUCACGGCACCACUGGAUGGACGAUAUUUCUUUAGUGUCAUCUUAACUGGCUACAAAGAUGAAAAACUAGAAGCUGUUCUCUCCAAGUCCAACAUUGGAAUCGCUCGUGUGGACUCGGCAGGAUACCAGCCUGAGGGUCUUGAGAAGAAGCCUCUGGUAGAGAAUAAGACCACCACCGGCUCACUUGGGGUCUUCAACAUUAUUCUGCAGCUUGUCGCUGGGGACACUGUCUGCAUUGACCUGGUGACGGGGCAGCUGGCAUAUUCUGAUGAGCCUCUGACAAUAUUCAGUGGGAUCUUCCUUUACGAGGGGCAAGUGGACAACUACUAGACCACAUGUGAUAGGUCUUUUCAUGUGAUCAUUUUCUAUAUGAACGAAAGGAGUUUCUGUGACCAGUUCCAUAAACUCUUCAGUUGUCACAUUGCCCAGGAGAAGAAUGAAGGACCAAUGGCCAAAUGGACAGAUGCCAAGUGACCACCCAGUCCAAAUCCGGCAAUGGUGGCAUACAGUAUAUGGAUGUAGCCCUGUAAUAAAACCACUUUGCUUAUCCCAGCACCAAUGCACUGAGAGCAUCUGAGAACCUGCAGUGAUGAUGGGCAGAGUACAGAUUCCUGGUAUAAUGUAUAACAGAGGUCAGAGGUUGAUACCAUUGUGUCCAGCAGCAGCUGACGAUGCUCUUCUGUGUUGUGCUCACCUGGGGCCACAACGCCAGCCAGAGGGCGUCACCACCGCAUCAGCACUGAACAUGCCCCACCCCCACCCUCCUUGUCCGGGACACGCUGUACCAUGCACCAGUGACAGAUCAGGAACUGUAAUAUGAAUAAUGGAAUUAUUUAGUGUUAUAUCAGCUAUGAAUCAGAUAGACAUGGUCCUAAAGAUGUACAUACUGUAUGAGAUGAAAGGGGUAACCACCAAGAGAAUCCACAAUCACCUAUAACCCUUUCAUUGUAGAUACUGUGCACUGUGUGCAGCCCACUAUGUCUGUGACACAUCUGCAAAAUAUCUCACACAUUGCGACACGUAUGUGACAUAUCUGUGACAAGCCAGUGCUAUGUCUGACACAUUGCUCCCAUUACUGAAGUCACUGACUUGCUUUGUGCAAAUAAAAGUUCUUGGAAAGUCCUGUA